rnacentral:rRNA from 1 species
CAGCAGUCGCCGCGGGAAAACGUAGGUGGCAAGCGUUGUCCGGAAUUAUUGGGCGUAAAGCGCACGUAGGCGGCUUUGUAAGUUAGAGGUGAAAACCUGGAGCUCAACUCCAGAAUUGCCUUUAAGACUGCAUCGCUUGAAUCGCGGAGAGGUGAGUGGAAUUCCGAGUGUAGAGGUGAAAUUCGUAGAUAUUCGGAAGAACACCAGUGGCGAAGGCGGCUACCUGGUCCUAAAUUGACGCUGAGAUACGAAAGCAUGGGGAUCAAACAGGAUUAGAUACCCCGCGUAGUCCCUGUCUCUUAUA